rnacentral:ncRNA from 1 species
GUACUGGAUGGGAGUUAUACCGUUGUGACCCAUUGCUGGAAACUGAAGGAGAGCGAUCGCCAGGUUUUCGGACAGUUC